AUGUCAACAUGAGCUAACCUAGGAUUACAAAAUAGAGCUUCUCCAUUAAUAGAACAAUUAACAUUUUUUCAUGACCAUACAUUAUUAAUUUUAGUAAUAAUUACAGUUAUAGUGGGGUACCUAAUAUUUAUAUUAUUCUUUAAUAGAUAUACUAACCGAUUCUUGUUACAUGGACAAAUUAUUGAAAUAAUCUGAACAAUUCUACCAGCAAUUAUUCUUUUAUUUAUUGCUUUUCCAUCUCUACGAUUAUUAUAUUUAUUAGAUGAAAUUAGUGAACCAGUAAUUACAUUAAAGACUAUUGGUCACCAAUGAUAUUGAAGUUAUGAAUAUUCAGAUUUUAUUGAUUUAGAAUUUGACUCUUAUAUAAUUCCAACUAAUGAUCUCUCAGUAGAUGGAUUCCGUCUACUAGAUGUAGAUAAUCGAGUAAUCCUCCCAAUAAAUUCACAAGUUCGUGUAUUAGUAACUGCUGCUGAUGUAAUCCAUUCUUGAACCGUCCCAUCCCUUGGUGUAAAAGUAGAUGGAACUCCUGGACGUCUCAAUCAAACUAACUUUAUAAUUAGACGUCCAGGAUUAUUUUUUGGGCAAUGUUCAGAAAUUUGCGGGGCUAAUCACAGUUUUAUACCAAUCGUAAUUGAAAGUAUUUAUACAAGACAUUUUAUUAAAUGAAUUUCA
rnacentral:rRNA from 1 species